rnacentral:rRNA from 1 species
AACGAACGCUGGCGGCAGGCCUAACACAUGCAAGUCGAACGCCCGGCGGGGGGUGUGUCAUGCGGGUGAGUACCGCGUGGUGACUUACCCUUUUCUACGGACUAGCUCUGGGAAGCUGGCAUUAAUACCGUGUACGCCCUACCGCGGAAGGCGUUAUUGGGGAAGGAUUGGCCCUAGUGGGAUUAGCCAGUCGGUGGGGUAAAGGCCUACCAAGGCGAGAUUCCAUAGCAGGUCAGAGAGGAUCAACAGCCACACUGUGACGGAGACACGGCCCGAACUCUUACGGGAGGGGGCAGUGGGGGAUAUAGGAAAAUCGGGGCAAGGCUGAACGAGCCAGGCUGCGUGAGUAAUGAAGGCCUGAGGGUUGUAAAGCUCUUUCACCGAUGAAGAUAAUGACGGUAGUCGGAGAAGAAGCCCCGGCUAACUUCGUG